AAAGUGGCGAACGGGUGAGUAACACGUGAGCAACCUACCUUACACAGGGGGAUAGCCGUUGGAAACGACGAUUAAUACCGCAUGAGACCACAGAACCGCAUGGUAAAGGGGUCAAAGAUUUAUCGGUGUAAGAUGGGCUCGCGUCUGAUUAGCUAGUUGGAAGGGUAAAGGCCUACCAAGGCGACGAUCAGUAGCCGGUCUGAGAGGAUGAACGGCCACAUUGGAACUGAGACACGGUCCAAACUCCUACGGGAGGCAGCAGUGGGGAAUAUUGCACAAUGGGGGAAACCCUGAUGCAGCGACGCCGCGUGAGCGAAGAAGGUUUUCGAAUCGUAAAGCUCUGUCCUAUGAGAAGAUAAUGACGGUAUCAUAGGAGGAAGCCCCGGCUAAAUACGUGCCAGCAGCCGCGGUAAUACGUAUGGGGCGAGCGUUGUCCGGAAUUAUUGGGCGUAAAGGGUACGUAGGCGGUCUAUUAAGUCAGGUGUGAAAGCGUGAGGCUUAACCUCAUUAAGCACUUGAAACUGAUAGACUUGAGUGAAGGAGAGGAAAGUGGAAUUCCUAGUGUAGCGGUGAAAUGCGUAGAUAUUAGGAGGAACACCGAUGGCGAAGGCAGGUCUCUGGGCAGUAACUGACGCUGAGGAGCGAAAGCAUGGGUAGCGAACAGGAUUAGAUACCCUGGUAGUCCAUGCCGUAAACGGUGGGCGCUAGGUGUAGGGGGCUUCCACGUCUUCUGUGCCGUAGCUAACGCAUUAAGCGCCCCGCCUGGGGAGUACGCCGCAAGGCUA
rnacentral:rRNA from 1 species